UCUGUUUUAGUCUCAACCACCUCCUGAGGGAAAUACCUGGCUCUUAAUUUGCUAAAUGCUCCACUGUGUUUACCAGUUAGUUGCAAACUUUGUCUGUCUGCUCGGCUGGAUAGAUUGUGUACGGUGGGUUUAUCACACAGACUGUAUAAAAGAAAUGGACGUAGCCACUGUGACGUCCCCCCAUCAUUGGUUUGUGGACUACAGUUUUGAAGCCUCGAGCUUGGCAUUUUGGCCAUCGCCAUCUUGGUUUUUUGGAGCCAGAAUUAACCAUAUUUAAGGAGAAGGUGUUGGUGGUGAG